AUGAACGCUAGCGACAGGCCUAACACAUGCAAGUCGAGGGGCAGCACAAGGAGCAAUCUGAGGUGGCGACCGGCGCACGGGUGAGUAACACGUAUGCAACCUGCCUGUAAGCGGGGAAUAACCCGUUGAAAGACGGACUAAUACCGCAUAAUACUAAAUUACUGCAUGGUAAUUUAUUUAAACAUUUAUGGCUUACAGAUGGGCAUGCGCAUGAUUAGCUAGUUGGAGAGGUAACGGCUCCCCAAGGCAACGAUCAUUAGGGGUUCUGAGAGGAAGGUCCCCCACACUGGUACUGAGACACGGACCAGACUCCUACGGGAGGCAGCAGUGAGGAAUAUUGGUCAAUGGACGAGAGUCUGAACCAGCCAAGUCGCGUGCAGGAAGAAUGUCCUAUGGAUUGUAAACUGCUUUUGCAGGGGAAUAAAGUGCAUCACGUGUGAUGUUUUGUAUGUACUCUGCGAAUAAGGAUCGGCUAACUCCGUG
rnacentral:rRNA from 1 species